rnacentral:rRNA from 1 species
GAGACUCUGUGCGCGUGCAUAUCAAUAAGCGGAGGAAAAGAAACUAACAAGGAUUCCCUUAGUAACGGCGAGUGAAGCGGGAAGAGCUCAAAUUUGAAAUCUUCAAGGUUCUACCUUGACGAAUUGUAGUUUAUAGAAGGUGUUUUCUGUUAGUAGAGUGGCAAAAGUUCUUUGGAAUAGGACAUCAUAGAGGGCGAGAAUCCCGUAUUUGGUCAUUCCUCCUAGCUUUGUGAUACACUUUCAACGAGUCGGAUUGUUUGGGAAUGCAGUCCAAAAUGGGUGGUAAAUUUCAUCUAAAGCUAAAUAUUGGCGAGAGACCGAUAGCGAACAAGUACCGUGAGGGAAAGAUGAAAAGAACUUUGAAAAGAGAGUUAAACAGUACGUGAAAUUGUCAAAAGGGAAGCGUUUGACACCAGUGUUGUUUUUCCGAAAAUCAAUUACGAAUGUUUUGUUUUUAAGAGAGUUAUGACUUCAUCGGCUUGCUCCUUUCUUUACGAAACUUUCUUAAUGCACUUUUCGGUUAACAAGUCAACAUCAAUUUCUUUUGUUGUAAAAGGGUACGAUUGGAAGGUGGCUUUCUUUUCGGAGAAAGUGUUUAUAGCCUUUGUAUCUCUGCAACCGGAGAGACUGAGGUCUGCAGCGUAGACUCUUCGGGGUUAGAUACAUUUGUGCUAAGCUAUAGCUUUUUAUAGACAACUUGUUGACUAUAUUUAGUCUUAUGGCUUACUCGCUUAUGCUAUUUUACCUACGCUUAGGAUGUUGACGAUCAGCUGAGCGCG